rnacentral:rRNA from 2 species
ACGGGGUGCAGCAGGCGCGAAACCUUUGCAAUGUGCGAAAGCACGACAAGGCUAAUCCGAGUGUCUCCUGCUAAAGGAGUCUUUUGUCAGUUGUAGAAUCACUGAUGAAUAAGGGGUGGGCAAGUUCUGGUGUCAGCCGCCGCGGUAAAACCAGCACCUCGAGUGGUCAGGAGGUUUAUUGGGCCUAAAGCAUCCGUAGCCGGUUGCAUAAGUUUUCGGUUAAAUCUAUGCGCUUAACGUAUAGGCCGCCGAAAAUACUGUGCAGCUAGGGAGUGGGAGAGGUACACGGUACUCGGUAGGAAGGGGUAAAAUCCUUUGAUCUAUUGAUGACCACCUGUGGCGAAGGCGGUGUACCAGAACACGUUCGAUGGUGAGGGAUGAAAGCUGGGGGAGCAAACCGGAUUAGAUACCCGGGUAGUCCCAGCUGUAAACGAUGCAGACUCGGUGAUGCAUUGGCUUGUGGCCAACGCAGUGCCGCAGGGAAGCCGUUAAGUCUGCCGCCUGGGAAGUACGUACGCAAGUAUGAAACUUAAAGGAAUUGGCGGGGGAGCAC